UGGGGAAUAUUGCACAAUGGGCGCAAGCCUGAUGCAGCCAUGCCGCGUGUGUGAAGAAGGCCUUCGGGUUGUAAAGCACUUUCAGCGAGGAGGAAGGGUAGUGUGUUAAUAGCACAUUGCAUUGACGUUACUCGCAGAAGAAGCACCGGCUAACUCCGUGCCAGCAGCCGCGGUAAUACGGAGGGUGCAAGCGUUAAUCGGAAUUACUGGGCGUAAAGCGCACGCAGGCGGUUUGUUAAGUCAGAUGUGAAAUCCCCGCGCUUAACGUGGGAACUGCAUUUGAAACUGGCAAGCUAGAGUCUUGUAGAGGGGGGUAGAAUUCCAGGUGUAGCGGUGAAAUGCGUAGAGAUCUGGAGGAAUACCGGUGGCGAAGGCGGCCCCCUGGACAAAGACUGACGCUCAGGUGCGAAAGCGUGGGAAGCAAACA
rnacentral:rRNA from 1 species